CACGUGCACGCACAUGCGAGGGGUGCAAGGUCUUGGAGCGCCGCAACUGGGUGGAGAACUGAGAAGCAAAGUUUCUUUUUCUUUACAAAUUGUUGGCUUUACACACGGCGCUGUCAUUUCGGGGUCUUCCUCGCCUCCCACACGGUGAAGCAGUACUUUUUCAGCCGAAUACGGCGCUCGCUCCUCUGCUACCCUCGUCUGACACGCGUGAAUUCCACGUCGGGAAGGAGCAAGAUCGCGGCAUUCUCGUCCACCUUCAGGGGCACCUGGGCCGGCCGGGCCGGGGCGCUUCGGCUGCUCACGCACGGCGUGACGCGGACACGCCCACCCCGAGGGCCGGGUUGCUUCGCGCGACCUUCCUCCCCGCCCGACGCGGCUCCUCGGUCGCGGCCGGGGCCGAGACCCUGCCUGCCGCCGGGGGCCCCGGGUAAGGCCGGCCCUCUCCGCGAGCCCCGGGGAAGUUACCCCACUCCUCCCCGACACGGCCGUGACGACAGCUCACAGGAAAGCAGAGAGUUGGGCAACCGCCCUGGGAAGGACAGAAAGACCCACUUCAAAGUUUUCGAAAGAACAGCUUCCCGGAAGACAAGCCUGCCCCGCGGGGAGCCUGGACCCCGGGGCCGGGGCCGGCGGCUCUCCGUGCCGUCGCAAGCCCCGCGUCCCCUCUGGGCGGCGGGCCCGGAAAGCCCCUCCCGGGUCACCCGGGCGCUGCCCCUGCACAGCGUCCCUCCGCGCUCAGGACCCGGCGUCCCCGCGGCUCCUCGGCUGCCCACCCUGCGGCCCCGCGCCGCCCUCGCUCCCCCGCGCAGCCUCCCCGCCGCCGCGCUCCACGGCUUCCCACACAGACCAGCUCGUCCGCGGACUUUCCUACUCACAGUUCAGGGAGCCCGCGCCCGUCCCUCACGCCCCGGAGCCGCGGCGCCGGCCGAGGGAGGCGACCGGAAGUUGCUUUCCGUUCCAGUUCAGAGGGCAGCGCCUGCGCGCGGAGCAUUUAACCCUUCGCCCUCCACCCGCCAGGCCAGGCCGGACCCCUCCCGGCCCACCNCCCGCCCAGGCCCGGCCCCGCCCCGCCUCUCGGGGCAAAGGACAGCCCCAGACAGUUAUCAAUGUCAAGGUUAA
rnacentral:lncRNA from 1 species